CCUACGGGUGGCAGCAGUGGGGAAUAUUGGACAAUGGGCGAAAGCCUGAUCCAGCCAUGCCGCGUGUGUGAAGAAGGCCUUCGGGUUGUAAAGCACUUUCAGUGGGGAAGAAAGCCUUGGGGCUAAUACCCUCGAGGAAGGACAUCACCCACAGAAGAAGCACCGGCUAACUCCGUGCCAGCAGCCGCGGUAAUACGGAGGGUGCGAGCGUUAAUCGGAAUUACUGGGCGUAAAGCGCGCGUAGGUGGUCUGAUAAGCCGGUUGUGAAAGCCCCGGGCUCAACCUGGGAACGGCAUCCGGAACUGUCAGGCUAGAGUGCAGGAGAGGAAGGUAGAAUUCCCGGUGUAGCGGUGAAAUGCGUAGAGAUCGGGAGGAAUACCAGUGGCGAAGGCGGCCUUCUGGACUGACACUGACGCUGAGGUGCGAAAGCGUGGGUAGCAAACAGGAUUAGAUACCCGAGUAGUC
rnacentral:rRNA from 1 species